CCCCUCUUUCCUAUAUUAUUCUCCCCAUCCCUCGGUAUAUUUCGUUCAGCGAGUGCGCUGAGUAACGCGCAAACGUUCAAGAAGCCAGCGGAAAGAAAUCGGUUCUGGUACGUGGAUACAGCGUGGAUAAUUUUCUUUAAGUCACCUCCAACAGAUAGAUGUUAUCGGUUUGAUGCAGCCACCAGCGUGACGCUUUACAGGUAUGGCCGGCCUCAUAUUAAGUCGGUCCGCGGUGAACGAGGCGCUGCAGGGACGGCAGGAUGUGACGAGAGAGCGGAGUGGCGCUGCGGACGAGAGGAGCGAAAAGAGGAAAGGAGAGGAUCGUACAGACGGUUUGCCGGGGGUGCGAGGCCAGAGGCAACCAGGGGGUAGCACAGA
rnacentral:misc_RNA from 1 species